GAUGAACGCUGGCGGCGUGCCUAAUACAUGCAAGUCGAGCGAACAGACGAGGAGCUUGCUCCUCUGACGUUAGCGGCGGACGGGUGAGUAACACGUGGAUAACCUACCUAUAAGACUGGGAUAACUUCGGGAAACCGGAGCUAAUACCGGAUAAUAUAUUGAACCGCAUGGUUCAAUAGUGAAAGACGGUUUUGCUGUCACUUAUAGAUGGAUCCGCGCCGCAUUAGCUAGUUGGUAAGGUAACGGCUUACCAAGGCAACGAUGCGUAGCCGACCUGAGAGAGUGAUCGGCGACACGGGAGCUGAGACGCGGUCCAGACUCCUACGGGAGGCAGCAGUAGGGAAUCGUCCGCAAUGGGCGAAAGCCUGACGGAGCAACGCCGCGUGAGUGAUGAAGGUCUUCGGAUCGUAAAACUCUGUUAUUAGGGAAGAACAAAUGUGUAAGUAACUAUGCACGUCUUGACGGUACCUAAUCAGAAAGCCACGGCUAACUACGUG
rnacentral:rRNA from 1 species